rnacentral:rRNA from 1 species
AAUUGUUAAAAAUCUAUAAUUUGUAGUUUUAGCGAAAUGCGAUACUUGGUGUGAAUUGCAGAAUCCCGUGAACCAUCGAGUCUUUGAACGCAAGUUGCGCCCGAAGCCGUUAGGCCGAGGGCACGUCUGCCUGGGCGUCA